CAGAGUUGAUGAUCUUCCUCUAGGUGAAAUAAAUGAAGUCUAUCUUUUGGAUUUCAUUGGAUCCUCUGGUUUUAUCGGGGAAUUAUAUCCAAAAGUCGAGAGUGUGAUAAUAUUAGACCAUCAUAAGACUGCAGUUGAAGCUCUCUGUGGCAAUGCUUCAUUUGGCAAGAAUGUGAUAAAGGUUAUUGAUAUGGAUAAGAGUGGUGCUACAAUUGCAUUUGACUUCUUUAAAGAAAAGCAUU